rnacentral:tRNA from 1 species
GCAGUGGUGUUUUAGCAGCAGAAUUCUUACCUUCCACAUAGGAGACACAGGUUCAAUUCCUGGCCAGUGCA